UAAUAGAAUCUUAAGUAAAUUCUAAUUAAACCUUAAUAAAUCUGAUCAAACUUUAAUCAAUCUAAAAGAAAUUUAAAAGAAUUACUAGAGAAUAUAAAGAAGUCAUGAAUUAAUUUCAAAAAAAUUAUAAAAUAAAAAAUUAUAAAGAAAUAACAAAAACCUUAAAAAAUAUUAAAAGAAUAAUAAAAAAUAUAUAUAUAUAUAUUAAAAUUAGAAGUAUUAAAUAAAUCCUAAAUAAAAUUUAACCAAAUUUUAAUGUAGUUUUAAAAAAAUCUUAAUAAAAAUUUUACAAUUCUUAAAUAAAUCCUAAUUAAAUCCUAACUAAAUCCUAAUGAAAUUAUAAAUUAAUCUUAACCAAAUCCUAAUCAAAUUCUAAAUCUUAAACU
rnacentral:lncRNA from 1 species